GGGAAGGUGGCUCAGUGGUAGAGUGCUUGCCUUGCAUGCAUGAGGUCCUGGGUUUGAUUCCUCAGCAUCCACU
rnacentral:tRNA from 1 species